AACGAACGCUGGCGGCGUGCCUAACACAUGCAAGUCGAACGUGAAAGUCCUUCGGGAUGAGUAAAGUGGCGCACGGGUGAGUAACGCGUAGAUAAUCUGCCCGAUGAUCUGGGAUAACAUUCCGAAAGGGGUGCUAAUACCGGAUAAGCCCACGGGAUCUUCGGAUCCUGCGGGAAAAGGGGGGGACCUUCGGGCCUUCUGUCAUCGGAUGAGUCUGCGUACCAUUAGCUAGUUGGUAGGGUAAUGGCCUACCAAGGCGACGAUGGUUAGCUGGUCUGAGAGGAUGGUCAGCCACACUGGAACUGAGACACGGUCCAGACUCCUACGGGAGGCAGCAGUGGGGAAUUUUGCGCAAGGGGGGAAACCCUGACGCAGCAACGCCGCGUGAGUGAUGAAGGCCUUCGGGUCGUAAAGCUCUGUCAGAGGGAAAGAAAUGUCAGAUGGCUAAUAUCCAUUGGACUUGACGGUACCCUCAAAGGAAGCACCGGCUAACUCCGUGCCAGCCGCCGCGGUAAAAC
rnacentral:rRNA from 1 species